ensembl:rRNA 5S_rRNA 5S ribosomal RNA
GCUUACGGCCACACCGCCUGGUUCACGCCCGAUCUCGUUUGAUCUCGGAAGCUAAGAUAGGGUGGGCCUGGUUAGUACUUGGAUGGGAGACCGCCUGGGAAUACCAGGUGUUGUAAGAU